GCUACAUGCUCUUUCUUCGAAUCUCCGGCUUCUGAAAAUUUCUCCAAAGAACUCUCUCCUCGCGGCAACAGGUGGUUGGUUUCUUUAGAUUUUUUUUCCCUUCCUCCUUCUUUUUAGAACUUCUACUUCAUUUUUUCCCACUUUCUCCUCGAUUUUUCUCGCGAGGAGAAAAAGUUUUAUCGUUUUUCUUUCCCCUUCUUUUAUUUUCGGCGAGGAUUCUGAGUGACUUUAGCAAGAAAAGUGGCCGCGAAAAAAGAACCGGAUGUGUGCAUACAUUCGAGAGCAGAAGAGUGUCUCUACAAACGCAGAAUGAGUCAAGUUUUGACAAAUAUUCCAGAAACAGUGAAAAGUGAAGUCUUCCCUAUUGAGAGUCUCGAGCACUUCCUGUGGCCACAAUGUUUCAUGAAAGUGUUAAUCUAUAAAGGUAUAUUAAAAGGUCAAAGCGGCCGCAAACGGCAAUCUCUGACAUUCAUUUCUCUAAACUGAGUUCAACACAAUUGGAUUCGAAACGCCCUUUUCUUAAUUAUUACGCAUGCCUGAGCAGACGCUUUCCCUUUAAAGGAAUGCGGCUUCAAUAGAUGUCAAGAAACAUAUCCUUGCUAAUGAGUAGCUAUUUCCUGUCUCGCCACCUGGUUUCGGACCGAGAGAAAUUUGAAUAAAACUUACAGUGUCUUGGCUGAACUGACUGCUACUGAGAGAUGCUCUACACAGCUGUGUAAACAAUAACAAGCGAUAUUGCCUUCAUAGCAUUUAGACGUUGUAGAAGGUUCUACUAAUUCACAGCCAGUGGAUAGUUGGAAACUCUUUCUCAAAUUUAAUGAUUCAAUCGAUGACACAAAGAAAACUAUGAAGCAAGAAACCAUUUAUUUUUGAAAAUGUUACCACAAGUAUUUUGUCAGUAAUUAUUCAGCAUUAGAGCAAAAUGGAAAAUUGAAAGAAGAAUCAUCUUUAUUGAUCUUUCAAAACUGUUAGCACAAUCCAAACAACCAACAGUCUUCAUCAAAUUGAAUUUUUCUCUAAUUAGAGAAAAAGCAAACAUCCAGAAGAAACUAUACAAAUGAUUAAAAAUGGCUUUGAAUUAUCCCUAUCUUAGUUAUUGCCAUUAUUAACAGUGUAAAUUACAAAAAAAAUGAAAGAAUAGUGGAGUAUUUUGAUCAUUGAAAACUUCUGAACUUGACAAUAUUUUUUGUUUUGUUUUGCAGGCUUAUAAGAAAUAAUUUUAAAUGAAGCAUUCUAUAAAAACAGGAAAUUCAGAGAUCUUUGACCAAACACAAAACUAGAAAAGUUAUCUAAAUGUUUUAAAGUUUGUAAAACUAUCUCAUCAUUGGCUAUCAAUUA